CAAAGAGGUUUUCUUUGCAUCAAAAGAAAACGACUUCCUUUUUGAUAUUUUUUCUUGCGAGACAAAGCAGGAUUUGAGCUGCUUUUUCUUUCUUCAUUGGCAUAUCUCUGAAUUUGACUCCAUUUUGAAAGUGAACCUCUUGGGGCCUUAAGCAUCUCUGCAUUGAUGACUUAAAUUCAUGUUCACCCAACAAGUGUCUUUGGUGGCUGGUUCACUGUGUACCGGGGAAGAAUGUGCUAUCAUGGUGUGGGCACUGCUUUUGGAGUCAGGAAGGCCUGGGUUCAAAUUCCAGCUCUGUCCCUUGUAUGACCUUUCAGAAGAGGCUAAAUAAUAAUAUUGACCAUGUGCCAUAUUUACUCCUGUAAGUGGGCAUUGUUAUUACCAUUUUACAGACUAGGAAACAGUGGCUCAGAGAGGCCAAAUAACUUGCUAAAAGACAACCAACCAGUGAUGGAUCCAGGACUCAAAACCCAGAUCUGUGUGACUCCAAAGAUGUCUUGCUCCCAUCUAUUUGCUCCCAUCAAAGAAGAAAGAGUAGAGAUAUACAAGAAUCCCUGUGGAAAACCUCAUGAACUCAAGGCCAUGCAGAGACUUAUGGAAGAACUGGGACUGACUUAUCAAGACUCUACACUACUGACCCAGGGCUUGGCAGUUUCUGUCCUAGAAAUCAGCACACGCAGCUCAUGCAUCACCGAGAAGGUGGUCAGCCUAAGAAGUGGUUCCCCACUCUUUGUUCUAAGAUAUUCCUCUCUCAGAAACCACGUCUGUUUUCAACUUUUUUUUUUUUUAGACAGUCUCACUCUUGUCACCCAGGCUGGAGUACAGUGGUACAACCUUGGCUCACUGCAACCUCUGCCUCCCGGUUCAAGCGAUUCUUCUGCCUCAGCCUCCCAGGUAGCUGAGACUACAGGCGUGUGCCACCAUGCCCAGCUAGUUUCUUGUAUUUUAUUAGUAGAGAUGGGGUUUCACCAUGUUGUCCAGUAUGGUCUCAAACUGCUGAGCUCAGGCAAUCCCCCCGCCUCAGCCUUCCAAAGUGCUAGGAUUACAGGUGUGAGCCACUGCGCCCAGCCUGUUUCCAACUAAUUUAACUCACAUCUGAUACCCAACUCUCUGCUCCCAUUAGUUCAUCUCAACUGGGAUUUGCUGACUCUCUAUACAUGCCAGCAAUUUCACCAGGCUCUGGGGACUCACAGAGGCAUAAACCGCCAUCUUCAUCCCGCAGGCACUCAGAUCAAGGGCAGGAGUUGAAAAUGGAAAUCAAUGAAGUCCUUAUAAAUCAUGUCAUCCUUGUGGUCUAGUCCCGGAGUGCCAUUAGAUUAAAGGAAAUAAUGUUCAACACUCAUAAGUUAUUGGAAAGUAAUCUAAAUCCUUUACUUGCUUUUUUCAAAGAAAAGCAAAGAAAGUCUCAUUCAUAUUCCAUUGCAACACUUUAUAAUAUCCCUAGAUAAUUGCUAAAUAGUCAAGAAAACAGAAAUAUAGGCUUAAUGAAAACAUGAGAGAAAAGUUCAAAGACAUGGAGGAGAAUGGAUGAAAGGGGGUGAGACUGGAGGAAGGAAAAUUGGCUAGACCUAUUACCAUGGUAGUAAUUGGAGGCAAGAGGUGAUGAGAGCCUCAACUCAAACAAUGGGAUGGGGGCGGAGUUGAACAGGAUGAAUUCAAGAGAUAUUUAAGAGAGAUGUGAGGGGGAGAUUCAGGAAGUGAUGUUGACAGCCCUGCAGAACAAGCUGAAAGUCUAACUUUCUCACAUGGAGGUUUCUUGAGUCACUUUAUACUCAAUACGUCCAAACUGCAUUUACCAUGUUACCUUCAAGCCAGUUCCCCUUCCUGACUCUGCCAUUUCUGUCAGACAUGCCACCAAUUUUCUAACCUCUGGCCUUAAAAACUGGUGGCCUAUCAUUUCCCUUCCCUUCUCCUUCAUUCCCUAUAAUCACGUCUGACACGAAUCCCUGCCGUAUCUCCUCAAAUCACCCUUUGUUCUCUAUGCUUCCACUGGAAAGGUACAGUUCACCUCAUCUAACCUCUAGAUUACUGCAGUAACCUCCAGCUGGCCUCCUUGACUCCAGUCUCCUCCCCACUGUCCAGCACAUCCUAAUCACGACAGGAAGACGGAUCUUCCCUCAGCAUGUCUUUCUCCCUCACACCGUAUUGCACCACUGCAUCUGGUCCAAACACCUCUGUCUGGCUUGCAAGAGCUCCAUCCUGUGGGCUCAUGGUAAUCACCAAGCUUGGUUCUGGUCAGGUGGGUAUCCCUAGGCUCCUCAGAAAGGUCAGGCUCAUGCCCACCUAGGUGUUAUUUCUCCACAUGAUCCCCCACCUGGAAUGCUCUUCCUCCCUCCUUCACCUUUCCAGUCUGGUGAGGGGGCAACCUCUGAUCAGUGCCUUGCUUGCUGAUGCCUGCCAUCUGCAGUCAGUGUCACACAGCUUAACUCUAAAUGAUCCCUUGCUUAUUCCAAGUGUCCAAGUUUUCUCCCCCGAGCUGGGCUGUCUAUUCUCUUGGGAACAAAAAUCUCUCACUUUGCUCAGCUGUCUCUGCUAAUCCUGGAAGAAGAAAGAUCUCAAGGGAGUUUUAGUAUUUCAGUUUUUGAUCAUAUUUAUGCUAUGCUUUUAUCCAUAUAAAGCAUGAAAAAUACAAUAAUGUUUGAAAAUUCUCACACAAUUUGAUCUCUAAUUCAUGUUACACUGUUAAAUUAUAAUUAUUAAAUUACAUAUUUUAAAACCAAAGAUUUAAGGUGAAGCUAUAUCUUAGGUCAUAACCUCUAAACAAAUGUGAACAUCUCCAUGUCUACAAGUUGUAGUGGAUGUAUUCUAUUUCUUUUUUCUUCAUGAGAAUUUGUAAACGUUCCUAGACAUAAACAGAAAGGAGUUUCUAUUCAUUGGGAACACACUACCUGCCAGGCACUGAAUUAGUUGCUUUACUUUAUUUAAGCCUCACUACUAUCCUUGUUUCCUUAAAAAUGAAUUUUUAUUUAACAGUUAUAUUUAAAAAUAGUAUUGCGUAUGUCAAAAAAUGCACUUUGAAGUCUAAUGGAACUAAAAGGUACUCCAAUUUCCACUUUUAAUGUUUCAAAGAAAAUAAUGAGACAUUGUUUUAGAAAGUCAUUGAUUAAAAUAAAGAUGUGAGAUUUUACAAGCAAUUAGAGAAAAUCUAUAACAUGAAUAAAGAUUUAAAAAUAUA